GACGAACGCUGGCGGCGUGCUUAACACAUGCAAGUCGAACGGAAAGGCCCUGCUUUUUUGGUGUGCUCGAGUGGCGAACGGGUGAGUAACACGUGAGUAACCUGCCCUUGACUUUGGUAUAACUUCAGGAAACUGGGGCUACUCCCGUAUAGGAUCUCCUGCUGCAUGGUGGGGGUUGGAACGUUUCGGCGGUUGGGGAUGGACUCGCGGCUUAUCAGCUUGUUGGUGGGGUAGUGGCUUACCAAGGCUUUGAAGGGUAGCCGGCCUGAGAGGGUUACCGGCGACAUGGGGACUGAGAGACGGACCAGACGCCAAUGGGAGGCAGUAGGGGGGAAUAUGACACAAUGGGAGGAAGUGGGAGAAAGAAACGCUGCGGGUGGGAUGACGGCUUUCGGGGUGAAAACCGCUUUAGCCUGUGACGAGGCGUGAGUGACGGUAAUGGGUAAAGAAGCACCGGCUAACUACGUG
rnacentral:rRNA from 1 species